rnacentral:rRNA from 1 species
AGGCAGCCCCCUGGGUCAACACUGACGCUCAUGCACGAAAGCGUGGGGAGCAAACAGGAUUAGAUANNNNNNUAGUCCACGCCCUAAACGAUGCGAACUAGGUGUUGGGGAAGGAGACNNNCUUAGUACCGCAGCUAACGCGUGAAGUUCGCCGCCUGGGGAGUACGGUCGCAAGAUUAAAACUCAAAGGAAUUGACGGGGACCCGCACAAGCGGUGGAUGAUGUGGAUUAAUUCGAUGCAACGCGAAAAACCUUACCUACCCUUGACAUGUCAGGAAUUCUGCUGAGAGGUGGAAGUGCCCGAAAGGGAACCUGAACACAGGUGCUGCAUGGCUGUCGUCAGCUCGUGUCGUGAGAUGUUGGGUUAAGUCCCGCAACGAGCGCAACCCUUGUCAUUAAUUGCCAUCAUUCAGUUGGGCACUUUAAUGAGACUGCCGGUGACAAACCGGAGGAAGGUGGGGAUGGCGUCAAGUCCUCAUGGCCCUUAUGGGUAGGGCUUCACACGUCAUACAAUGGUCGGUACAGAGGGUCGCCAACCCGCGAGGGGGAGCCAAUCCCACAAAGCCGAUCGUAGUCCGGAUCGCAGUCUGCAACUCGACUGCGUGAAGUCGGAAUCGCUAGUAAUCGUGGAUCAGCAUGUCACGGUGAAUACGUUCCCGGGUCUUGUACACACCGCCCGUCACACCAUGGGAGUGGGUUCCACCAGAAGUAGGUAGUCUAA